AUAUAAAGGCAAACCUGUUGAAAGACAGGGACGCAAAGCCAAGGGUCUAAGGUCACAGAAAAUUACAGUUAAAUGACUAUGACAGCCGGUUGCCGC
rnacentral:ncRNA from 1 species